UCACGCCUACAAGGCGGGGCCAUGGGAGGCGCCUGGAGGCCUGAGAUCUGGAUGGGCGGUGCUCUCACUUGGUUCUGGGACCUUGGACAGUGAAGGUGGGCCAAGCAGAGCUCCAGAGAACACCGCUGGACUGCGAUACACCUUCCCCAGACCCCGCGACCUACCUAUCCCUUAACUUCUAGCUGCAGUCAGCCAAGAUCACCAGCAGGCCCUGCUUUGGAGCUGUACCAACGCUGAAAAGUGCUACUACACCCUCGAAAACCACGAAAGGAUUAUCAUUGCUUAUAAGAUAAAAGAUACUGAAUGUUUAUCAGCCACUGCUCACAACUGAAGUCUUCACUCUACCACGACUUUGCCACUUAUAGCUCCAUAGCCUAACCAGAACCAUGGUGCUCGAGAACUUUGGCAUCAUCCUCAUUCCCAUGCUCCUAUUCACAAACUCAGGAGCAGGAGCUGCAGGAUCUCACACAUCCCCAACUCUCUCACAUACUGGCUUAUUGCUGUGCCAGCCAGUACCCAUGUGUGGGGACAGGAUCUACAACCCCUCGAAGCAGUGUUGUGUGGAUGAUGCCAUCUUGCCCUUUAACCUGACCCGAAACUGUGGUACCACUGACUGCCCCUACUGGCCCUGCUUUGAACUUUGCUGUUCAGAGCCUUAUGGCCCCCAUCCAGAAUUUCUUAUCAAGCUGAAACUUCAGGGGGAGAGAUCCCGUUGCAGUUCAUCCCCCAUCUCUGGGGACUGUGCCAGCAGAAACAUUUUACAGAGAAGAUAUCCAAGAAAAUCCACUUUUUAUUAGGCUACAAGUGAUGCCCAGAUUCGAAUGUCUGGUUUCUUCCAGUAAAUACCAGCUCCUGAAUGUUCCUACUAGAAGGAUGGGCACCUGAGGCAUUGGAAUGAAGUGACAUUAUGUGUGCAUCAUUAUAAUGCUCAUUUGAACAUAGUUUAAACAUGUAUUGGAAUGUUCUAAAAUUAUCAUGUGUCAAUGCAAUUAAAGAUAAAUAUAUCCAACCUCAA